rnacentral:rRNA from 1 species
GGAGGUCCAAGCGUUGUUCGGAAUCACUGGGCGUAAAGCGCGUGUAGGCGGCUUGGCAAGUCGGGUGUGAAAUCCCGGGGCUCAACCCCGGAACUGCACCCGAAACUGCCUCGCUAGAGUCCCGGAGAGGGUGGCGGAAUUUCCGGUGUAGAGGUGAAAUUCGUAGAUAUCGGAAGGAACACCAGUGGCGAAGGCGGCCACCUGGACGGUGACUGACGCUGAGACGCGAAAGCGUGGGGAGCAAACAGGAUUAGAUACCCUGGGUAGUCCACGCCGUAAACGUUGAGUGCUAGACGUCGGGGGUAUUGACCCCCUCCGGUGUCGAAGCUAACGCAUUAAGCACUCCGCCUGGGGAGUACGGUCGCAAGACUA